CGGUUCCUAUAUGAUCACAGAAGUUAAGCAAUGUUGAGCCUGGUCAGUACCUAGAUGGGUGUCUGUGUGAGAAUACCAGGUGCUGUAAG